AAGGAAUAUUGGUCAAUGGACGCAAGUCUGAACCAGCCAUGCCGCGUGAAGGAUGAAGGUCCUCUGGAUUGUAAACUUCUUUUAUCUGGGACGAAAACGGGAUUUUUAUCUCAAUUGACGGUACCAGAGGAAUAAGCACCGGCUAACUCCGUGCCAGCAGCCGUGGUAAUACGGAGGGUGCGAGCGUUAUCCGGAUUUACUGGGUUUAAAGGGUGCGUAGGUGGGCUUAUAAGUCAGUGGUGAAAUCUCCGAGCUUAACUUGGAAACUGCCGUUGAUACUAUAGGUCUUGAAUUAUCUGGAGGUAAGCGGAAUAUGUCAUGUAGCGGUGAAAUGCUUAGAUAUGACAUAGAACACCAAUUGCGAAGGCAGCUUGCUACAUAUAAAUUGACGCUGAGGCACGAAAGCGUGGGGAUCAAACA
rnacentral:rRNA from 1 species